rnacentral:misc_RNA from 1 species
GAAGUGCGAUAAGCAAUGCGAAUCAUCAGAUCUUUGAACGCAAAUGGCGCCAGAGGGAUAUCCUUCUGGCAUGUCUGUUUCAGUGUCUGAGAGGUUUCACAAUAAUCUUAAUGUGAUUGAAUCGAGUUAGUUAGUUUUAUAGCUCACUCACUCUUUUCUCUCAUGAAAGAUGUGUGAGUGGAUCUUUCGGUCCAAUGAAGUGGUCACAUCACUCGAAUGUGAUUUCAUUGGAAGCACCGAAUUAUCAUCAUUAAUUUAACUCGUAGUAUCAUAUAAACAUACAUUCUCUCUAUACCCUGCAUCUGAGAUAGGCAAGAUCUCCCGCUGAACUUAA